GGCGGUGUGGCUCAGUGGGUAGAGCAUUGGCCUGAGGACUGAAGGGCCUUGGUUCGAUUCCAGGCGAGGACA
rnacentral:tRNA from 1 species